AUACGUAGGGUGCGAGCGUUGUCUGGAAUUACUGGGCGUAAAGAGCUCGUAGGUGGUUUGUCGCGUCGUCUGUGAAAUUCCGGGGCUUAACUCCGGGCGUGCAGGCGAUACGGGCAUAACUUGAGUACUGUAGGGGAGACUGGAAUUCCUGGUGUAGCGGUGAAAUGCGCAGAUAUCAGGAGGAACACCGGUGGCGAAGGCGGGUCUCUGGGCAGUAACUGACGCUGAGGAGCGAAAGCAUGGGUAGCGAACAGGAUUAGAUACCCUGGUAGUCCAUGCCGUAAACGGUGGGCGCUAGGUGUAGGGGUCUUCCACGACUUCUGUGCCGUAGCUAACGCAUUAAGCGCCCCGCCUGGGGAGUACGGCCGCAAGGCUAAAACUCAAAGGAAUUGACGGGG
rnacentral:rRNA from 1 species